GAUUAUGAUGGAAGAUCACCUCUGGUAUGAUUUUUAGCUAAGCUAAUCAUUAGUGUCCUACAAAACCAAGCUCAACUAAAUUUAAGGAAAGAAUACUUAAAGAAGAGAGGGACUAUAACUGGUAAAGUAUUGAAGUCUUGCAUGAAGAUAUGAAUACCCAUUUAAUGAUUUUCUAUGGCCAAAAGAGCCCCACUGUCAAUGCAUAACCAGCACAUCUAAACUUCCUGUCUAAAAGGAAUUUCACAUCAUAAUCAUAUUCAUCUUCAGUGUUUAAUGAUAAGAGAACAAUUACAGCAUAUACAAUUUAAGUGAAAAUGUAAAUGGCCUAUGAAGUAAUCCAGGGAAAUUAAACAGUCAACUAAGUCAACCAGCAGGAUAGCAUGAGUAUUCCUUUUCUGACAGGUCUGAAUAUACUGCCUUGGAGAAUUAAUGUAGAAAUUUCUACUCGAUAAUCUUUCUCAAAUUUCUACAUCCAUAUGCCCAUUUUAACGAGUAUAGAAUACUUGCAUGCUUCAUCUAAGUUAGAUGCAUAUGUUCCAUACUAAAGACAACUGAAAUGUGUAUAAAAUACUAUUUUUAUAUAUUUAUGGUAGCUAAUAAAUUGCAGCCUAUGAAAAAAUAAUCUUACUGUAGAAUAGGAG
rnacentral:misc_RNA from 1 species